CCCUUAGAUGGCCGGGGCUGCACGCGCGCUACACUGAAGGAAUCAGCGUGCUAAAACCAUUGUCGAAAGGCAUUGGUAAACCCAUUAAAAUCCUACGUGAUUGGGAUCGGGAAUUGCAAUUAUUUCCCUUGAACGAGGAAUUCCCAGUAAGUGUGGGUCAUAAGCUCGCGUUGAUUACGUCCCUGCCCUUUGUACACACCGCCCGUCGCUGCCCGGGACUGAGCCGUUUCGAGAAAAGCGGGGACUGCUGCUGUCGGGGCUUUCGGGCCUUGGCUUCGGUGGAAACCGCUUUAAUCGCAGUGGCUUGAACCGGGCAAAAGUCGUAACA
rnacentral:rRNA from 1 species